rnacentral:misc_RNA from 1 species
GUUUCAACUGGUGCACUCAAGAUCUCAAUAUCAUUGAGCUGAAGUUCAUUGUUCUUACGCCUUAUAUUUUCAAGAAUGGUUCAGAAGUCAUGUGAAUCAAAAUAUUUUUGUAGCAUACAAUCAUUAGAAUAGAUCUCUCGGCUCUCUUUUUUACUUGUACACUGUUGGCUUGUUGGUUGGUUUGGCUCUGAAUGGGUGUACUUGAGGUCUCAUAACCCUAGAAAUUACUUCAAUACAACUAAAUCGAAGCUUAUUGGUCUUACCCUUUCUAUUUUCAGGAAUGGUUCAGAAUUCAUGUGAAGCAAAAGAAUUUUGUGGCAUACGGACAUUAGAAUAUUUCUUGUCUCUAUUUUACUUGUGCACUGUUGGUUAUGGAUUUUAUGCCACAUAUUUUUAUCUGCUACUGCAAUGCAUUGCCUGAU